GACGAACGCUGGCGGCGUGCCUAAUACAUGCAAGUCGAGCGAACAGAAGCAGCAGAAUUACUUCGGUAAGGACGCUGUGGAAGUUAGCGGCGGAUGGGUGAGUAACACGUGGGUAACCUACCCUUAAGACUGGGAUACCACUUGGAAACAGGUGCUAAUACCGGAUAGGAGUAUGAGCUGCAUGGCUUAUACUUUAAAGGCGGCGAAAGCUGUCACUAAAGGAUGGACCCGCGGUGCAUUAGCUAGUUGGUAAGGUAACGGCUUACCAAGGCGACGAUGCAUAGCCGAGUUGAGAGACUGAUCGGCCACAUUGGGACUGAGACACGGCCCAAACUCCUACGGGAGGCAGCAGUAGGGAAUCUUCCACAAUGGACGCAAGUCUGAUGGAGCAACGCCGCGUGAGUGAAGAAGGUUUUCGGAUCGUAAAGCUCUGUUGUUGGUGAAGAAGGAUAUAGGUAGUAACUGGCCUAUAUUUGACGGUAAUCAACCAGAAAGUCACGGCUAACUACGUGCCAGCAGCCGCGGUAAUACGUAGGUGGCAAGCGUUGUCCGGAUUUAUUGGGCGUAAAGCGAGCGCAGGCGGAGAAAUAAGUCUGAUGUGAAAGCCCACGGCUCAACCGUGGAACUGCAUCGGAAACUGUUUUUCUUGAGUGCAGAAGAGGAGAGUGGAACUCCAUGUGUAGCGGUGGAAUGCAUAGAUAUAUGGAAGAACACCAGUGGCGAAGGCGGCUCUCUGGUCUGCAACUGACGCUGAGGCUCGAAAGCAUGGGUAGCGAACAGG
rnacentral:rRNA from 1 species